rnacentral:rRNA from 1 species
AGCAGUCGCCGCGGUAAAACGGAGGGUGCAAGCGUUAAUCGGAAUUACUGGGCGUAAAGCGCACGCAGGCGGUCUGACAAGUCAGAUGUGAAAUCCCCGGGCUUAACCUGGGAACUGCAUUUGAAACUGUCAGGCUGGAGUCUUGUAGAGGGGGGUGGAAUUCCAGGUGUAGCGGUGAAAUGCGUAGAGAUCUGGAGGAAUACCGGUGGCGAAGGCGGCCCCCUGGACAAAGACUGACGCUCAGGUGCGAAAGCGUGGGGAGCAAACAGGAUUAGAUACCCCUGUAGUCCCUGUCUCUUAUAC